CUCUUCCUCAAACAUACAGACUUUAGCAGCAACACUGUUCUGAUUGAUGUCAAGGUCCAAGCAAAUACACCUAUGACUAAUCAAAUUAAAAAUAGAUGCCAAAGCUUUUCAUACAUGAACAGGGUGGGAAGGAGCACAGAAACAUUCAUGGCUAUUCCCCACCUAGUCUCACAUUUUUCCAUGCACUGUGAAAGUCUGUAUGUUUGAGGAAGAGAGAAGGAAGGCGAGAUAGGGGCGGGGGGGAAGAAGACGUGUCGCUAAUGCCGUAGAGAGCAUUGUAGCUAGGCCACUAGUUUGCUCAUCUUUCAAAUCAACUGCUUUCAUUACAUUCAUUCGGGAUGUCCCCCACCCAACACUCCUAUAAAAAAAAUCACUUGGGCAGAGAGUAUAUUACUCACCAACGACUCAACCCUUGUUGAUCCAAUGGUUUUAUUGCUAACCCCUAAAAUGUACAACGAGAAGCACACAAAUGGGAAAGAGCUCACUGCUUAAGCAUGUUGUUUACCUUUACAUGCAAGCCUUGAAAAGUUAG
rnacentral:misc_RNA from 1 species